rnacentral:rRNA from 1 species
AGAGUUUGAUCCUGGCUCAGAGCGAACGCUGGCGGCACGCCUAACACAUGCAAGUCGAGCGAGAAAGUGACUUCGGUCGCGGGUAAAGCGGCGAACGGGUGAGUACAACGUGGAUAAUCUACCCUAAGGUCUGGGACAACCCCGAGAAAUCGGGGCUAAUACCGGAUAAGACCACAGUAUCCAAGGAUACAGCGGUAAAAGAUUUAUCGCCUUUGGAUGAGUCCACGCCCCAUCAGGUAGUUGGUAAGGUAAAGGCUUACCAAGCCUAAGACGGGUAGCCGGCCUUAGCGGGUGAACGGCCACAUGGGGACUGAGACACGGCCCUGACUCCUACGGGAGGCAGCAGUGGGGAAUAUUGGGCAAUGGGCGAAAGCCUGACCCAGCGAUGCCGCGUGAGGGAUGAAGGCCUUCGGGUUGUAAACCUCUGUCAGGAGGGACGAUGGGACUUUGUCUUGACGGUACCUCCAGAGGAAGCCCCGGCUAACUCCGUGCCAGCAGCCCGCGGUAAUACGGAGGGGGCAAGCGUUGCUCGGAAUUACUGGGCGUAAAGGGUCCCGCAGGUGUCAGGCAAGUUGGUUUG